CCCUUAGAUGUUCUGGGCCGCACGCGCGCUACACUGAUGCAUUCAACGAGCAUAUAACCUUGGCCGAGAGGCCUGGGCAAUCUUGUUAACGUGCAUCGUGAUAGGGAUAGAUUAUUGCAAUUAUUAAUCUUGAACGAGGAAUUCCUAGUAAACGCAGAUCAUCAAUCUGCAUUGAUUACGUCCCUGCCCUUUGUACACACCGCCCGUCGCACCUACCGAUUGAAUGGUCCGGUGAAGCCUCGGGAUUGCGGUUUAGUUCCUUUAUUGGUACUUUACUGUGAGAACUUGUCUAAACCUUAUCAUUUAGAGGAAGGUGAAGUCGUAACA
rnacentral:rRNA from 1 species